rnacentral:rRNA from 2 species
UACAGAGGGUGCGAGCGUUAAUCGGAAUUACUGGGCGUAAAGCGUGCGUAGACGGUUAUCUAAGUCGGGUGUGAAAUCCCCGGGCUCAACCUGGGAAUUGCAUUCGAGACUGAAUAGCUAGGGUUCGGAAGAGGGAAGCGGAAUUUCCGGUGUAGCGGUGAAAUGCGUAGAUAUCGGAAGGAACAUCAGUGGCGAAAGCGGCUUCCUGGUCCAGAACCGACGUUCAGGCACGAAAGCGUGGGGAGCAAACAGG